GGAGGUGAUAAAGCGACAAAAGGAUGAGAGGAGGAAGGAGUUGGCUGCAACACUACAACAUGAUAUUCCUGCCAUGCUCAGUGCCUUGUCAAAUAUGGGCUUGAAGUUGAAUGUAGAUGUGGAAGAUCUGACAAGAAGAGAAGGCAUCUUAUCUUGAUUUUGAUAAAUAAACAUCAAACAUUAUAUCAUCCAUUUACUGCACAUUUUUGAGAAGCAGCCGUCUCUGUUUACUGCCUUCAUGAGCACAUGUUUCAGUCUUCGCAGGUGCGACACAAGCCGUAGUGGCUUGAAGGUAGCCUCAGAAUACUGCCAUUACUA
rnacentral:misc_RNA from 1 species